UGCUUUUUGAGACAGAGUCUCACUCUGUCGCCCAGGCUGGAGUGCACUGGCGCAAUCUCAGCUCACUACAACCUCCACCUCCCAGGUUCAAGCAAUUCUCCUGCCUCAGCCUCCUAAGUAGCUGGGAUUACAGGCCCGCACCACCACGCCAGGCUAAUUUUUUUUGUAUUUUUAGUAGAGACAGGGUUUUGUCAUGUUGGCCAGGCUGGUCUCAAACUCCUGACAUCAGGUGAUCCACCUACCUCAGCCUCCCAAAGUGCUGAGAUUACAGACUUGAGCCACUGCACCCAGCUCCUGAUCAGUAAGUUUUACGUUCUGGUUGGCCAUGCAGCGGGAGGGUGUCCUUCAGACCACCCCUCCUCCAGUGUCCCCUUCUGAAAAGCCUCUGUGCCCAGCGGAGGCUGUGGCCUUGCAUCAUGGCCCAUCGCCUCCUGGCCUCAUAUUCUACCUCCACCAACCCUGACCCUGUGCUCCAGCCACACUACAGCCCCCAGUCGCAGAUCUCUGGCCCUUCCUCAUGCUAGUCCCCUGCCAGGAAUGCCUGCACAGCCUUGUCCUCCAGGCAGAAGCUCAUCAUCUGUAGCAGCCGCUGCCUUGCCAGUGCCCACUGCAGCCUCUAACUUUUCCCACUUCAGUGUGCUCCAGUCCCACACCCGACUGCCUUUCUUUGCCUAAGGCUUUCUCUGGCUUCUGGAACCUGCAUUGGCCUCUCUGUGCUGGUUAGGCCAGAAGUGCCAGGAAAUUAAUACCCUCCAAAAGCAGCCCUCAGCCACUGAGCCAAUGACUGGCAGAAGUUGGUAUAAACAUAUCCCAGCUUCCUCACCCCUCUGGCAGCCUAAGUUUGAAAUGCGUUCUACAGUCUCCCAGAGUUCUGCAGCAGGACUAUACCCUAGUUGCCUGUAGUGAUGACUGGCUUGAUAAAGCACCUUUUAUUGUCUACCUUCCCUUCCCCGUCUCACCUCUGCCCUCAUGAAUGGAUUAAUGCCCUUAUGAAAGGCAUUAUCCCUGAGCUAGGCCCCUUUUUGCCCUUCUGCCUUCCACCAAGUGAGGAAGUGUUUGCCCCUCUGGAGGACACAGCAACAAGGACCAUCUUGGAAGCAGAGACCUGGCCCUCACCAGACACCAUACCUGCCGGCACCUUGAUCUUGAACUUCUCAGCCUCCAGAAGUCAGUGAAAGUGCAACGACUAAAAGGGAAUGGAGUGACACAGACAAGUGUCUACAAGAGACCCUGGGGCUGCUACUCCAAAUGCUGUCACUUUGCAAGGUUACUGGGUAGAACUUCAAUCUUACUACUCACCUGCUCAACAACCUGCAAUGGCUCCCUAUUGUUGCCUUUCCCAACAAGGCCUCAUUUCAUGGAUGAUUUUCCAUCGUCUGGCCCUAUCCUAAAAGAGAGUGGAGCCUCUUGCUCAGAGUCAGGCUUUGGUCUCAACUGCCUUGUUUCACAUUCUCACUAUGCCAGUCCCCAGCUGGGUGAUGAUGAGUAAGUUACUUAGCCUCUCUGGGCACUGGCUUCCUUACUUAUUAAAUGUAGAUAAUAUUAGGUUGGUGCAAAGUAAC
rnacentral:lncRNA from 1 species